rnacentral:rRNA from 1 species
AGAGUUUGAUCCUGGCUCAGAACGAACGCUGGCGGCAGGCUUAACACAUGCAAGUCGAACGGUCUCUUCGGAGGCAGUGGCAGACGGGUGAGUAACGCGUGGGAAUCUACCUAGUUCUACGGAACAACAGAGGGAAACUUCUGCUAAUACCGUAUACGCCCUACGGGGGAAAGAUUUAUCGGAAUUAGAUGAGCCCGCGUAAGAUUAGCUAGUUGGUGGGGUAAUGGCCUACCAAGGCGACGAUCUUUAGCUGGUCUGAGAGGAUGAUCAGCCACACUGGGACUGAGACACGGCCCAGACUCCUACGGGAGGCAGCAGUGGGGAAUAUUGGACAAUGGGCGAAAGCCUGAUCCAGCCAUGCCGCGUGAGUGAUGAAGGCCUUAGGGUUGUAAAGCUCUUUCAGUAGGGAAGAUAAUGACGGUACCUACAGAAGAAGCCCCGGCUAACUUCGUGCCAGCCGCCGCGGUAAUAC